rnacentral:lncRNA from 1 species
AUGAUGACUGAAGUCAUGGACAGUGAAAUCAGAAGGAGUUGGAGAAAUCACUUGGUCUGUCCCUCAGCCUGUGGGCACCGGUUGAAGCUGACAGGUGGAAACCUAGAGUUGGCCCAGACAUUAUGGGUGGCAGAGAUGCCAAUUUGUGGGAGAGAAGGUUUGGCUCCUCUCCUGGGAGCUAUGUCUGGCCAAAGGCUGCCUCUUCCCACCUCCUGCUGGAACUGGCUCUUUUAUAGCUGAUGUUAUUGCUCCAUUGGCCUAUUCCAGUGGCUGUGGACUCAUAACAAUUUUCCCUGUGUACUUAUGGCUCUAGAACCAGGCUGAGAGCACAUAUCACUCUUCUCCAUCUCUCCUGGCCCAUCAGAAAUGGUCCAUCUCCCAGUCACACCCGCCACCCUUGCCCAGUAGUAAUUUCAGCCUUGGAGGAUAAACACUGAGGCCUUCAGAAUGUAUAGGGUCUACACUGUAUCAUUGAAACAACCAGAGAUAUCCAUUCUGAACUUGUGUCUUUUGGCUGGAAGUUCUUAGACAAAGGGAGGUCACUAUUGAAUCUUAUUCCCUCUGAGAUUUCCUGACUGUCAGAGGUCCUGAAUGUGGCUGGGAGACAAUUCCUUUUUCUCAAAGCCAAGAUGGCUUCUUACCAGGAAAUCUCAGAACGCCUGCUUAUUUCCUUCCCUUGGCUGCCCCUCUACUCCAGGUCCCCUUCUCUCCUGCUACCAGGCCUUCCCAUUCCUUCUUUCUCUUCUCCUCUCUCUCUCUCUCUUUCUCAGCAAGUUUUUUAUGUGAUUACAGGCACUGCAUGGUAAUUAGUGCUAAACUCAUUUGCACAACUACAGUUAAUUGGCUACAACAAUUAAUUAAUGUGUUGGAAAUUUGGCACUGGAAAAAAAAAAGUUUGUCAUCAAAAAAAGGGCAAAAAAUUGUAGAGUGAGAUACCCAUAAAAAUCGAGGACAGGCUUCAAAAGCCCAGCUGGGCCUCAAACUUCAGGCCGGCCUGAGAUGCUUUCCCACUCUCAACUCCAACACAUUUUCCUCUUUCCUCUUUCAUUUUUUUCCUCUUCCUUUCUUUCUCUAUUUCUCUUCUUGCUCCAUUUUUUUUUUUUUUUUUACAACUUAAGCAAACUCAUUUCCCUGAUAAAAUAUAGCAUGACUAAUGGCUAGAGCAUGUAAAAAUCAUUGGGAAAAUGUCCUUGGAAGACGAAUGCAUUUUCAGCAGAAUAAUUAACUUAAUUAACAAAUU